rnacentral:rRNA from 1 species
UUGGCUUAGAAGCAGCCACUCAUUUAAAGAGUGCGUAAUAGCUCACUAGUCGAGUGACUCUGCGCCGAAGAUAAACGGGGCUGAAACUUACCACCGAAGCUUUGGAUACCCAUAGGGUAUGGUAGAGGAGCAUCGUAUACGGGCCGAAGCGGAAAUGUGAGUUUCCGUGGACUGUAUAGGAGAGAGAAUGUUGGCAUGAGUAGCGAGAGGCAGGUGAGAAUCCUGCCCGCCGAAAAUCUGAGGUUUCCUGAGGAAGGUUCGUCCGCUCAGGGUAAGUCGGGACCUAAGCCGAGAGCGAAAGCUGUAGGCGAUGGACAACAGGUUGAGAUUCCUGUACCACCGAAAGUCGUUUGAAUGAAGUGGGGACGCAGGAGGAUAGACAGAGCACGCCGUUGGUAGAGCGUGUCCAAGCACGGAGUGUAUCGGGUAGGCAAAUCCGCCCGGUGAAAAGCAUGACGUGUGACGGGGAGGGAAAAUAGUACCGAAGCUGUCGAUUUCACACUGCCAAGAAAAGCCGCUAAUGAGACUGUAGGUGCCCGUACCGCAAACCGACACAGGUAGAUGAGGAGAGAAUCCUAAGGCGAGCGAGAGAACUAUUGUUAAGGAACUCGGCAAAAUGACCCCGUAACUUAGGGAGAAGGGGUGCCUGCGAAAGCAGGCCGCAGUGAAAAGGCCCAGGCGACUGUUUACCAAAAACACAGGUCUCUGCGAAAGCGAAAGCUGAAGUAUAGGGGCUGACGCCUGCCCGGUGCUGGAAGGUUAAGGGGACUGCUUAGAGCAAUCGAAGGCAUGAACUUAAGCCCCAGUAAACGGCGGCCGUAACUAUAACGGUCCUAAGGUAGCGAAAUUCCUUGUCGGGUAAGUUCCGACCCGCACGAAAGGCGUAACGAUCUGGGCACUGUCUCGACAAUAGACUCGGUGAAAUUGUAGUACCGGUAAAGAUGCCGGUUACCCGCAGCAGGACGGAAAGACCCCGUGGAGCUUCACUGUAGCUUGAUAUUGAGUUUCGGCGUUGCAUGUACAGGAUAGGUGGGAGACUAUGAGACGGGUACGCCAGUAUCCGUGGAGUCACCGUUGGGAUACCACCCUUGUAACGUUGGAAUUCUAACCGAGUAUCGUAAUCCGGUACCGGGACAGUGUCAGGUGGGCAGUUUGACUGGGGCGGUCGCCUCCUAAAGAGUAACGGAGGCGCCCAAAGGUUCCCUCAGUGCGGACGGAAAUCGCACGAAGAGUGUAAAGGCAGAAGGGAGCUUGACUGCGAGACAAACAGGUCGAGCAGGGACGAAAGUCGGGCUUAGUGAUCCGGUGGUACCGAGUGGAAGGGCCAUCGCUCAACGGAUAAAAGCUACCCCGGGGAUAACAGGCUGAUACCCCCCAAGAGUUCACAUCGACGGGGGUGUUUGGCACCUCGAUGUCGGCUCGUCUCAUCCUGGGGCUGAAGUAGGUCCCAAGGGUUGGGCUGUUCGCCCAUUAAAGAGGUACGCGAGCUGGGUUCAGAACGUCGUGAGACAGUUCGGUCCCUAUCCGCUGUGGGCGAGGGAUAUUUGAGUGGAGCUGCCCUUAGUACGAGAGGACCGGGGUGGACAUACCGCUGGUGCACCGGUUGCAGUGCCAACUGCACAGCCGGGUAGCUAAGUAUGGAAGGGAUAAGCGCUGAAAGCAUCUAAGUGCGAAGCCCCCCACAAGACAAGAUAUCCU